AGAGAGACUGGGAUGACCAACACUGGUAGGCAGACAGACUGGGAUGACCAACACUGGUAGGUAGAGAGACUGGGAUGACCAACACUGGUAGGCAGAGAGACUGGGAUGACCAACACUGGUAGGCAGAGAGACUGGGAUGACCAACACUGGUAGGUAGAGACAGACUGGGAUGACCAACACUGGUAGGCAGAGAGACUGGGAUGACCAACACUGGUAGGCAGAGAGACUGGGAUGACCAACACUGGUAGGUAGAGACAGACUGGGAUGACCAACACUGGUAGGUAGAGACAGACUGGGAUGACCAACACUGGUAGGUAGAGACAGACUGGGAUGACCAACACUGGUAGGCAGAGAGACUGGGAUGGCCAACACUGGUAGGUAGAGUGACUGGGAUGACCAACACUGGUAGGUAGAGAGACUGGGAUGACCAACACUGGUAGGUAGAGACAGACUGGGAUGACCAACACUGGUAGGUAGAGACAGACUGGGAUGACCAACACUGGUAGGUAGAG
ensembl:lncRNA